rnacentral:tRNA from 1 species
AUUUAUUUAGUAUAAUUAAGUACUCUUGAUUUCCAAUCAAAAAGUCUAUAUAUAUAUUUAGAAUAAAUA